UACGUAGGGGGCAAGCGUUGUCCGGACUUACUGGGCGUAAAGCGUGUGCAGGCGGGCCGCUAUGUGCCGUGUGAAAGCUCUCAGCUUAUCUGGGAGAGGUCGCGGUAGACAGGCAGCCUGGAGGCUCGGAGAGGUCAGUGGAAUUCUCGGUGUAGUGGUGAAAUGCGUAGAUAUUCGCAAGAACACCAGUGGCGAAGGCGGCUCACUGGCCCGGUACUGACGCUGAGGUGCGAAAGCGUGGGGAGCAAACAGG
rnacentral:rRNA from 1 species